rnacentral:rRNA from 1 species
UACAGAGGGUGCAAGCGUUGUUCGGAAUCAUUGGGCGUAAAGGGUGCGUAGGCGGCGCGGUAAGUCGGGUGUGAAAUCUCGGGGCUUAACUCCGAAACUGCAUUCGAUACUGCCGUGCUUGAGGACUGGAGAGGAGACUGGAAUUUACGGUGUAGCGGUGAAAUGCGUAGAUAUCGUAAGGAAGACCAGUGGCGAAGGCGGGUCUCUGGACAGUUCCUGACGCUGAGGCACGAAGGCCAGGGGAGCAAACGGG